rnacentral:rRNA from 1 species
AGAGUUUGAUUCUGGCUCAGGAUGAACGCUAGCGGCGGGCUUAACACAUGCAAGUCGAGGGGCAGCGGGAUGUAGCAAUACAUUGCCGGCGACCGGCGGAUGGGUGCGUAACGCGUAUGCAACCUACCUUAUACAGGGGAAUAACCUUUCGAAAGGGAGACUAACGACCCCAUAGUAUUGAUUUAAGGCAUCUUAGAUUAAUUAAAUAUUUAUAGGUAUAAGAUGGGCAUGCGUAUGAUUAGCUAGUUGGUAAGGUAACGGCUUACCAAGGCGACGAUCAUUAGGGGUUCUGAGAGGAAGGUCCCCCACACUGGUACUGAGACACGGACCAGACUCCUACGGGAGGCAGCAGUGAGGAAUAUUGGUCAAUGGGCGCAAGCCUGAACCAGCCAUGCCGCGUGCCAGGAAGACGGCCUUAUGGGUUGUAAACUGCUUUUACAUAAGACUAACCGUAUAUUUGCGAAUAUACCUGAAUGUAUUAUGAGAAUAAGGAUCGGCUAACUCCGUGCCAGCCGCGGC